rnacentral:lncRNA from 10 species
GUUUAGAUACAGGAAUCAUACAGCGCCUAAUUUUUUGAAAUUGGCUUUCUUCACUCGUUAGUCUAAUUCCCUGCAGGUUCACGUCUUGCUUUUUUACACGAGUUUCCUCUCAGAAAGUAACUUUUUUUAAAAAAUUACCCAACAGCAAAUCUAAAGUCCAUUUCAAAUGCAAGAGUUCCCUCAUCCUUUCCUAAAUAACAGCCUCUUUUUACAGGUAGAACAGAUGGUUUGAAAAGGAAAGAUUUUUUUUUCACAUAUGGGGAAAAAAAAUUCCCAGCCUUGGAAGGAUAUUUGGGUUAGAGGCCGAAGUGCAUCACAGAUCACGCACGCGUCCACACCUCAGAAAACACUCACUCAUUCCUGAGACGCAACGCAACCUCCAAAAACCCAACUUUGCAAAGAUAUGGCAUCGUCAGAAGAAAUGGGGUGCAAUCUAAUGUUGACAGUGUGGAUGAGAGUGGGACACCUGCCAGUUGUUUGCAUCAGCAGACACUCAGAGUCCAUGGAAAAAAUGAGCCUAGAGGUUUUUAAACCACAACACAAGCAAAAGGCACCUGGUCCCGUUCCUCUUAAGACAGAAGAAAGAGGCGUAAAACCAGCUCCAGGUGCCACCCUUAAGAAAUGUUACAGUGCCGGAUGGGAAGAGUAAACCCUGAACAUCUCUUCUUAAUACUUUACAGACUUCAAGUGUAUUUUAUGGUGACAAAGCAUAUUGAAGACAAAUGAAACUCUACAACCCUGAAAACCAGCCUGAAUUAUUUUGAGAGACAGACAGUGGCUGCAAGGAGAAGCGUCGGGAUUUUCUGGGCUGGCCAUCUCCAGUGUCACUGACCCCGGUCUACCCCUGCAUGUUUGUUUACGGGAAAGGAGUUGAGGAGGAGGAUGUAUGGCUGAGAGCCUGAAAAUAAUCCAGGGCAGGUGGAGCGAGGAGAGGACUUUACUCCUCACACUCAUGUAGGCAUCCUGAAAAGCCACUUUUCUUUCCAAGGUGGGCACGGGCCUUGAGCUUGGAGUGGAGCCAGUUAAAGUUGUCCGCUCUGGGUCGUCAGAUGGAGAUCUUAUCUUGGGUCAUGAAUUGUGGUUUUAGGAGAAAGGCAGAAGCUAAACCCAUCUUCUGUCUGGUGGGGAGGCCCAGCAAAGGGCUCAGAAACACAGCCACAGGCCUCUUGCAGCAGCUGGAUGCACAUUUCAGGAGGUUGCCUGAAAGCAGAAUUGACUUCAGAGAGUAGGGCAGCAGAGCCCAGCCACAGAGUGGUCCCAGGAGCCAGGAAGUGCCACACAGCCCCUCGCUUAUUUUUACUCAGUAUGCCACAGAAGUCCUGACCUGUUAAAAGUGCCCUUUAAGAAUGGCUGGCCCACCCUCUCUCAGAGGGUUCAUGCUGGGGAGAGGGUUCCUGCAUGCCCGCUAAGCUCCAAAUGACAACCCAGGUGUAGAAAGGGCUUAGACUUUAGGGUUCAAACCCAUCCUAGAGUCCGGUCCAAGGCCAGUUACAGCCAAUGGGCAGUGGUAGGUGCAGCCCAGCCCAUUAGCUCAUUCUUGAGCCUCAGAGGGACAGAGCAGCACUAAUGGGUGCACAAAUGGCUAGAAUGUUCACCAACUCCUCGAGAGUGGCAUUGGACAUUUGGGCAAGGGUCUUAUGGAGGCUGAGAGUUGACUGUGGGCUCAUCACAGCUAUUUUGAGGGUCUUGACAGCCCAACUAGCAAACAAUUCUGCAGGGAUGAGAGGUCAGGGCAAAGGGAAAUGGCAUUGUCAAGUGGACAGCCAAAAAGUCCAGGAUGCCCCCAGGUCCUGGGGAACGGCGGGGGAGGAACUCAGGGACUGGAUUACCCACAGGACCUGGUGAGACCCACAGCCACGGGCUGACUUGUGUCCACUCAGAAGCGUAUGUUAAAAUCCUAACCCCCAGUACUUUGGAAUGUGACCUUAUUUGGAAAUAGAGACUUUGAAGAUGAUCAAGUUAAGAUGAAGUCAUGGGGCCGAGAGCGGUGGCUCACGCCCGUAAUCGCAGCACUUCGGGAGGCUGAGGCGGGCAGAUCACGAGGUCAGGAGAUCGAGAUCAUACUGGCUAACACGGUGAAACCCCUUCUCUACUAAAAAUACAAAAAAAAAAAAAUUAGCCGGGCAUGGUGGCGGGCACCUGUAGUCCCAGCUACUCAGGAGGCUGAGGCAGGAGAAUGGCAUGAACCCUGGAGGUGGAGCUUGCAGUGAGCCGAGAUCGUGCCACUGCACUCCAGCCUGGGAGACAGAGCGAGACUCCAUCUCAAAUAAAUAAAUAAAUAAAUAAAGAUGAAGUCAUUAGGGUAGACCCUAAAGCAACAGAGCUAGUGUCCUUGUAAAGAGGGGAAGUCUGGACACAGACACACACCUGCACUAAGGGAAGUGGGUGGGAAACACUGGGAAGAUGCCACAUGACUGCAGUGACGCAGCUGCACGCCAAGUGAUGCCUGGGGCACUGGAAGCCGGGGAGGGUUCCUGCCUGGCCCCUAAGCUCCAAAUGACAACCCAGGCAUAGGAAGGGCCUACACUUUGGGGUUCAAACCUAUCCUGGAGUCUGGUCCGGGGCCAGUUACAGCUAAUGGGCAGUGCUGGGUGCAGCCCAGCCCGUAAGCUCAUUCUUGAGCCCCAGAGGGACAGAGCAGCUCUAAUGGGUGCAAAAAUGGCUGGAAUAUUUCACCAACUCCUUGGGUGGGUGGGUGGGGGGGGGGCAUUGGACAUUUUGGGCAAGGGUCUUCUUGAGGCUGAGAGAGGCCAGGAAGGAGCUUCCCCUGGAGUUGUCUGGGAGUGGGACCCUGCUGACACCGACCUCAACUUUUGACUUCUGGCCUCUAGAGCUGUGAGAGACUAAACACCUGUGGUUUUAAGCCACCUGGUUUGUGUCACUUUGCUGUGGCAGCCACUAGAAACUAAUACACCCAACUAGAUACGUAUCUUUGUCACAGUUACAGGAAUCUUUAUUUUAUCCAAAAGCAAAAGACACUGAACUUUUGUGUACAUUCCAGGCCUGCUGAUUGUAGCUGGUCUAUAAGCUCGUGUCGGAGUCUAUGGUGGUUGAUUUUUGUGUCCCUUUGACUGAGCCACGAGGUAUUUGAUCAAACAUUAUUCCAGGUGUUUCUGUGAGGCUGCUUUUGGAUGAGAUUAACAUGUAAAUCAAUAGAGUCAAGCAAAUCGUUCUCCCCAAUGCAGAUGGGUUUCGUCCAUGCAGCUAGAGGCCUGAAAAGAAGGAAAAGCUGAUCAUCCUCGUGUAAGAGAGAAUCUCUCCUACCCAACGGCCUUCCAGCUGGGAUACUGGCUUUUUCUUGCCUUUAGACUUGAACUGAACAAUUGGCUCUUCCUGGCCUCAGGCUUUGGGACUCAGAAGCACACAUUGACUGUCCUGGGGCUCCAGCUUAUGGACUACCCUGCAGAAAGACUGUGGGACUCGUCAGCCAUCAUCAUCCUGUGAGCCAGUUUUACACAGACACACACACACACAGUCGCACUCUCAUGCUCACACAUACACACUCACACACAAUCACACACUUGCACACACACAGACACUCUUACACACUCAUUCACACACUCACAUGUGCACACACACAGUCUCUCACACACAUCACACACACACACACACACACACACACACACACACACUAUUGGUUCUGUUUCUCUGUAUAACCCUGAUGAAUUCAGGAUCUUAAAGGUUACCUAUUUCAUUGUAAUGCUGUUUUCUAGCACCAGGCUAGUCCUUUUGUCGGCAGAACUGGUAGGCUCACUUUUUUUUUUUUCAGACUGUUUUGUGUUUUAUUUUCUUCCAUUUACAAAAAAGCAUUUCUAAGCCAGGGCAGUGAAGCCUGACGCUACCGUUCACGGUCAGUGAAAUGAGCAUUCGAGGAUGGGACUCAGCCUGUCUGGACAGGUCCCCAGACAAAAAACACAGAGAAUCAAGAACGCAGGCGCUCCCUGUCGGACGCCAGGCCGGGCCCUGUGACAAGGAUCUCAGCGCUGGCGGUGGGGCUGCCCUGCGGGUUCGAGGCCUGGCUCUUCCUGCCCCACUGCCUGGUGUGUAGCCCAGGGGCCGGGCCGCCUGCGCCCCCCGCCGGGGGGCACGCCCGGCCCAGGGUUGGGGGUGUCCGGCUUGCCCCCAGGGGGCCAGCGGGGCCUCUGUUAUCUCGCUCCAGAACCGACAUCGCCAGCCAAGACCUUCCUCGUGGAGCCCUCGGUCUGGCCAAGGACGCUCCUUGGAGUCUGCUUAGACGCACAGCGGGCUCAGCUUUGCCAAAUUCUCCAAGGAGACUUUCCAUGAGGCGCCUCCUGCCAUCUGUGGGCGGCGUUGGGAACUGCGGCCACCGCUGCUUGGGAAUCAGGACGUCCCAGCUCCCAACCGGCGGUCAUUCAUUCCCUCAACACACACUCUGGGCCGCCCGCCUGGCUCCAGGCAGGCCCUCCGGGGACUCGGGAAAUAGGAGUUGUUAAACAUUUCUGAAACAUUCCUCUUCCAUUUAUUCUGUGAUUUUCUUCAGAAACACAAGGCGUGCACGAGUCAGCUUAUCAGCUUAUCCUUCACCCACACGUAGGCUCUUCUUUCCAAUCAAUUUUAUCUUUGUUUUUUUCUAAGAAAAUUUUAGGGAUUUUACUUGUUUUUGUUUUGUUUUUGGGUUUUUUUGUGUGUUUUGUUGUUGUUAUUUUGUUUUUUUUUUUUUUUGGUGGGGGGUUGGCUUGGUUUGGUUUUUGCUUCAUUUUUUAAUUUUAGGGAUUUUUAAAAAGCCAGCAUUCCUUAAUCUUCUGAUUGUUGUGUGACUGUUGUAUAAUAUUGAGAAAUACAUUCCUGUCAUCCACAACUAACAACCAUUAAUAAUGUGUCGUAUUGUUUACUUUUUUGUUUUUAACUAAAUUUUGCUUUGGGGAAGUAUCCAUGACGAUACAAUAUAGCUGUGAGAUAUUUCCUGUACCUGCUACGUAACACCCCUUCAUGUAAAACGCAGAGCAUUUGGUUUAUCCACAUCCCCCCGCCCCCCGCCCAUGCAUAUUAGUGGUUUCCAGUGCUAAAGGGACAGCGCCCCCCACGUGCAUUUCUCCAGGUACUGAGGCAGGAGAAUAGGGGCUGGAGGCAGGGGACCAAAGGCUGUUUCACUCAGACUUCCUACAACUAAAUUGAAAGGAAAACCCUAACUUUCCACUCCUAAGUAACAAAAGGACCAGAGGCUAUUCCCUUUCUAAACCCCCCCACCUUUUCCUCGAGGCAAAUGGGAAAUUGGCUGUCCGCAACCAAUCAGACUGAUUGUGGGUGGAGUCUUCGUUUGCACCUCUGUACCUUCGCUCCAGUCUCUGAACGGUUGCUGUCCACAACGAAUCAGACUGAUUGCGGGCUCAGCCUUCGUUUGCAUAGAAGUAUAACUUUGUAACUUCACCCUAGCCUCUGACUGGUUGCUUUUGGCACCUUCAUUUACAUGAGGUGAGCAUGAUGUGGCCAAUUGGAAACUUCUAGGGGAUAUUUGGACCCAAGAAGAUCCUGUAUCCAGGCCCUUGAGCCGCUGCUCGGGUCCGCUCCCAUACUGUGGAGUGUACUUUGGUUUUCAAUAAAUUCCUGCUUUCGUUCUUUUGCUGCUUCAUUCUUUCUUUGCUUUGUUGGGCGUUUUGUCCAAUUCUUUGUUCAAAAUGCCAAGAACCUGGACAAGUUGCAGUUAUGACCCUCGACCGGUGAUAGUAGCACUCGCUCCUAACAGCUUGGCUGCAGUAAGCCUAGGCUUCCAGGGAGAGCCUCUGCACCUGCUGCUGUGCUGCUUGAGUUCUCUCAGACAAGGAAGCAUGAAAAGGGCUGCCUUUUUCAAACAGCAGGGGAAGGAAAACACAGUGAUAACAAAUCCAAAUAUUAUUUCAAUUGAGAUCUUAUCAUAU